GCCCGGUUAGCUCAAUCGGUAGAGCGUGAGACUCUUAAUCUCAAGGUUGCGGGUAAGUAACAUGUUCAAAAAGUCAAGAGUUGAACCGAUUCAUGAUAAUUAACAGAUUGAAAAUAGGUUCGACCCCCGCAUUGGGCU